AGUGAACGCUGGCGGUAGGCCUAACACAUGCAAGUCGAACGGCAGCACAGUAAGAGCUUGCUCUUACGGGUGGCGAGUGGCGGACGGGUGAGGAAUACAUCGGAAUCUACUUUUUCGUGGGGGAUAACGUAGGGAAACUUACGCUAAUACCGCAUACGACCUACGGGUGAAAGCAGGGGAUCUUCGGACCUUGCGCGAUUGAAUGAGCCGAUGUCGGAUUAGCUAGUUGGCGGGGUAAAGGCCCACCAAGGCGACGAUCCGUAGCUGGUCUGAGAGGAUGAUAAGCCACACUGGAACUGAGACACGGACCAGACUCCUACGGGAGGCAGCAGUGGGGAAUAUUGGACAAUGGGCGCAAGCCUGAUACAGCCAUACCGCGUGGGUGAAGAAGGCCUUCGGGUUGUAAAGCCCUUUUGUUGGGAAAGAAAAGCAGCAGGUUAAUACCCCGCUGUUCUGACGGUACCCAAAGAAUAAGCACCGGCUAACUUCGUG
rnacentral:rRNA from 1 species